GUUGUAGCAAAAUCUACAACCGAGCCUCAGAACUCGAACGAUUUAUACUUGGCGAAUAGCACGCCCCAAGCGUGUUUUUU
rnacentral:sRNA from 1 species